UACAGCGCCAGCUGCCUAAUUGAUUGUCUCUGUUAAUUAGGCUCUGGAUCUGUGA
rnacentral:ncRNA from 2 species